rnacentral:tRNA from 1 species
AGGGGUAUAGCAUAAGAUAAUGUAUUUCGCUUACAUCGGAAAGAUAGUUCAUAUUGAACUUGCCUUUA